UCUGACCCCCUGAUCGUGAUCUCCAGCCGUUCACGCCCUGACGCACUUCCCCGGCGCCAGGUCGGGACGGAGGGGGAUCAGGAUCCGGGGGUCGGCAUCC
rfam:Microbacterium sp. RT33B genome assembly, contig: Ga0136747_11